GAACAGAUCGACGGCGAGAGGUUCGCGACGUUGGAGUAAACCUCACCUUUUUCUACGUCCUGCAACAAGCGUGACAAACACAGUCAUGUUUGCAGCAUAUAAUUUUAUUUCAUACAAAUUAGAAGAGGAAGACGCUUUUUUACUGUUAGUUAAUAUUGAGUUUAUUUUCACAAAGAGUUUACUAGAAUAAUAAAAUGUAGUUGAACUUAAGAACGUGUACGAAGAUGUUGGCUAGUAUCGUGUAACUCUAGAGUAUCGAGUGUAUUGCGAAUACUAUACUGCAGGCUGCUCUGAAUAACUCCAAAAAAACUGAUGAAGAAACCUAUCAAGCAACAUAAAAAUUAUCUUGCAAUGAGUAAAAUAUGAAAAUAUUUUAAUAUUUGAUAAAUGUAUAAAAUUUAAUAUCACAAACAUUUAUAUGUAUGUACAUGUUUAAUUGAUUACAAGGCAAUUAAUUAACUCCAUGUGUAUAU